UGGCUCAGGAUGAACGCUGGCGGCGUGCCUAACACAUGCAAGUCGAGCGAUUACUUCGGUAAAGAGCGGCGGACGGGUGAGUAACGCGUGGGUAACCUGCCUCAUACACAUGGAUAACAUACCGAAAGGUAUGCUAAUACAGGAUAAUAUAAGAGAUUCACAUGGAUUUCUUAUCAAAGCUCCGGCGGUAUGAGAUGGACCCGCGUCUGAUUAGCUAGUUGGUAAGGUAAUGGCUUACCAAGGCGACGAUCAGUAGCCGACCUGAGAGGGUGAUCGGCCACAUUGGAACUGAGACACGGUCCAAACUCCUACGGGAGGCAGCAGUGGGGAAUAUUGCACAAUGGGCGAAAGCCUGAUGCCAGCAACGCCGCGUGAGUGAUGAAGGCCUUCGGGUCGUAAAACUCUGUCCUCAAGGAAGAUAAUGACGGUACUUGAGGAGGAAGCCCCGGCUAACUACGUGCCAGCAGCGGC
rnacentral:rRNA from 1 species